AUAUUUAUAGUAUAAAAAUUACAUUUAAUUUCCAAUUAAAAAAUUUAAAAUAAAUUAAUAAAUAUA
rnacentral:tRNA from 1 species